rnacentral:lncRNA from 1 species
UAAAAGCUAGGGAGGAAAGGUCUAACCAAGAAAUAGCAAGUUUUAUGACAUAAGUCAAGCAAGAAUUCCCUCCUUUGGAUUAAACCUCAAGUAAGCCAAUAUAAGCAAAUAAUAAUCCAUGUAUCAGAUGAAACCAAAAUAACCAUACCAAGUCUUCAAAAUAAACCAAAAGUCAAAGGUACCAGAUGAAUUCUAGGGUAUAAAAUCACAAGUCC